rnacentral:rRNA from 1 species
UACGUAGGGUGCGAGCGUUAAUCGGAAUUACUGGGCGUAAAGCGUGCGCAGGCGGCGCGUUAAGACAGGUGUGAAAGCCCCGAGCUUAACUUGGGAAUUGCGCUUGUGACUGGCGUGCUGGAGUGUGGCAGAGGGAGGUGGAAUUCCACGUGUAGCAGUGAAAUGCGUAGAGAUGUGGAGGAACACCGAUGGCGAAGGCAGCCUCCUGGGCCAGCACUGACGCUCAUGCACGAAAGCCGUGGGGAGCAAACAGG